rnacentral:lncRNA from 14 species
UUAGAUAUUGCGUCUGAAGGGAGGGAACACAGACAGUGAGCAAGCCCAACCUUGUGACAAGCCUCAAACCAAGCUUAAUGAGCCAAGCGAGAGACCUGCUCUGUGUCACUGUGUCUUGAAGUAGCUGAGAAAAUAGGUCUGAAAGCACAGCUGAUACCAACACCCUUAUCCCAGACUCUGCACUAACUCAACACUGACUGAAAGGGCACCACACUCGUCACUGUCCUUCCUCAUCUUUAAUGGAAGGAGGAUCACUUGGAAACAACUGAAAAAGAAUGACUUAACAUGCACCUUCAGCUUCUGGUAUUGCUGGUCUGUGAUACUCCCUUGUUUCCCAGCAGUAUCCCAGGAAGGAGGCAUAAAGGGAAUGGAAAGUUAAGGGUAUCUUCAGAGGUGUGUGGGCAGUGCGUACGUGGAAGCAAGCUGGGGAUCUGCAUGUCUAUCACUAUGACACAAGUCUUCUCGCACACCUGAGGUAUUCCCCAAAACAAAUGAAACAGCUGCCAUCAUAGCCAAGCCUAAACACCAUUGCUGGGUGUGCAGCUCUGUAGCAAGUGGGGACCCUGCCACACCUUCACCUUGGAGGGAAUGACUUGCUUCCUUUCCAUAUACUCCUGCUCUCUUCCCAGUGAAAGCUGGGACCAGCCUCCCCAGGAAAGUCCCGGCUCUGCUCUGCAAUUUGCACAGUCCUGCCAUGGAAAGCGGAUUUUGCAUUGUCA